UACGGAGGGGGCUAGCGUUGUUCGGAAUUACUGGGCGUAAAGCGUGCGCAGGCGGUUCGUUAAGUUCGAUGUGAAAGCCCUGGGCUCAACCUGGGAACUGCAUUGGAAACUGGCGAGCUUGAGUGUGGCAGAGGGGGGUGGAAUUCCGCGUGUAGCAGUGAAAUGCGUAGAGAUGCGGAGGAACACCGAUGGCGAAGGCAGCCCCCUGGGCCAACACUGACGCUCAGGCACGAAAGCGUGGGGAGCAAACAGG
rnacentral:rRNA from 1 species